CAUUUUUGCCUCAGACAUUUUUCACUGCUCACUGAGUCCAGUUCACCUGCUUGUGGUUGUUAACUUGGCAAUUCUUCUACUUUGGUGACCAGAUCGAUAGACCAUCCAGCAGCUGAGAAAAUAUCAGAUGACUGGCAUACAGCCAGAGGCAGUUUCUGUUGUGCAGUGAGAGUCCAUUCUGAUAUCACAAAAUUGGAAAUAAAUGGAACUAUGCCAAAAUUCUCUCUUCAAAGAAGAAAAAUAAGAGGCAUAAAUAUUGGCUUGAAAUACGAUAGAAUGCAAGAACUUUUGC